AACGCAAAUUGCGCUCUUGGCUUCGGCCAAGAGCAUGUCUGCCUGAGCGUCGGGGUAACACUCACAUAUUCACUGCAACCAGAGUUCACAUCUGGAUCUGGCUGUCUCGGUUUAUUUUAAUUAAUAACCGGGUCAGCUGAAGUGCAGAUGUCAAGGCAUGGACCGUUAAAUCGGGCCUCUACUGGGUAGGCAACUUGUUUGCUGUAUUUCUUUAGUAGAUGUCUUGGGUACCGGCUUUGGCACGACGCAGGUGUAUCUGUUCAUACAGGCCCCACUAUCACUCAUUUAUCGACCUGAGCUCAGGAAAGAUUACCCGCUGAACUUAA
rnacentral:misc_RNA from 1 species